UCGAGAAUCUUCGGCAAUGGGCGCAAGCCUGACCGAGCGACGCCGCGUGCGGGAUGAAGGCCUUCGGGUUGUAAACCGCUGUCGUAGGGGAUGAAACGCUAGUGAGUUAUCUCAUUAGUUUGACUGAACCUAGGAGGAAGGGCCGGCUAAUCUCGUGCCAGCAGCCGCGGUAAUACGAGAGGCCCAAACGUUAUUCGGAUUUACUGGGCUUAAAGAGUUCGUAGGCGGCACGGACAGUGGGGUGUGAAAUCCCUCGGCUUAACCGAGGAACUGCGCUCCAAACUAUCGUGCUAGAGGGGGAUAGAGGUAAGCGGAACUGAUGGUGGAGCGGUGAAAUGCGUUGAUAUCAUCAGGAACACCGGAGGCGAAGGCGGCUUACUGGGUCCUUUCUGACGCUGAGGAACGAAAGCUAGGGGAGCAAACGGG
rnacentral:rRNA from 1 species